rnacentral:rRNA from 1 species
GGCAUGGUUGUCGUCAGCUCGUGUCGUGAGAUGUUGGGUUAAGUCCCGCAACGAGCGCAACCCUCGACCUUAGUUGCCAGCAUUCAGUUGGCACUCUAAGGUGACUGCCGGCUAAAAGUCGGAGGAAGGUGGGGAUGACGUCAAAUCAUCAUGCCCCUUAUGACCUGGGCUACACACGUGCUACAAUGGGCGGUACAAAGGGUCGCGAACCCGCGAGGGGGAGCCAAUCCCAAAAAGCCGCUCUCAGUUCGGAUUGCAGGCUGCAACUCGCCUGCAUGAAGCCGGAAUCGCUAGUAAUCGCGGAUCAGCAUGCCGCGGUGAAUACGUUCCCGGGCCUU